AAAGAUUCAUUCAAUCCAUCAUCCAAUUAAACCCCAAAACAAAUAUCCAAUUCCAAUAUUUCAUUUUUAAUAUCUAUAGAACUAAUCAAUAUCCAAUAUUAAUCCAAUAACCAUAAUCCAAAUUCAAUAAUCCAUUUACAUAUCCAAGUAAGACAAAAUAGUAAAAAGGCAAUUGGAAAAGACGCUAGCUACAAGCAUGACGAAACAGCAAAAUGCAUGUAAAAACUGGCAGGACAUAGAACGACAUCAGCAUGUUCGAACUGCAAAGCUCUGUGAAGACUAAUCGAAAUGUUGAAUUUGAUAACUAACCUUGAAUUUCAACCGCAUUUGAGUUUCAUUUAAUAACUGUAUCAAAGUCAUAUAAGAACCAGACUUCAACAUAAUGAAGGAGAGAAUAACUGCUCCGACCAUCUUUUUCUUUCACUGGGAACCUUCAUCUCUGCACUCUGCAAAUUCUUGGCCUCGCUCCUCAUAGAUUCAGCAUACUCUACCGCAUCUUAGAAUGGAGAAUCUCUCAAUCUUCACUCUUCCAUCGUUAUUUUCGAUUUGGCUUAC
rnacentral:lncRNA from 1 species